GACGAUCAGAUACCGUCGUAGUCUGAACUAUAAAUGUUGCAAACCAGGGAUAGGACAGUGUCCAUCUCGACUCCUCCUGGACCUUGGAGAAAUUACGAGUCUAUGGGUUCUGCGGGGAGUAUGGUCGCAAGGCUGAAACUUAAAGGAAUUGACGGAAGGGCACACAAAGAGUGGAACCUGCGGCCUAAUUUGACUCAACACGGGAAAACUCACCAGGUCCGGAUACACGUAUGAAAGUCAAGCUGAAAGACUUUACUCAAUGAUGUAAGUGGUGGUGCAUGGUCGUUCUUAGUUCGUGGAUUGAUUUGUCUGGUCUAUUCCGAUAACGAGCGAGACCCCGACGUUCCUAAUAGGGGUGGCAGCCAGACCGGUCGCAAGGCCGGUUAGCUCGCCGCCUGAAGUUAUACUUCUUAGACGCAUCAGAGCCGAUAAGGUUCUUUAAAUGGGUUAAUAACAGGUCAGUCAUGCCCUUAGAUGUUCUGGGCCGCACGCGCGUUACAAUGGCAUGUA
rnacentral:rRNA from 1 species